CCUUCUGAUCAAUAUAAAUGAUAAUUAGAUAAUUAAGUAACUUGAAGAUGUGAUUUCCAUUCAAAUGACUUUCCGAGUAAUCUGUUGAGAUUUUCCUGAUCUUUGAGAACAAAUCUGUUGGGUUAAUGAGAUGAUUGUGUGAUGAAUGUCAUAAAUGAGGUAGGCAACGGCCGCGAUAUGGAAAAGUGAUUCGUAAUUUUCGGUAUCGAUUUCGCUGUGUCGCGAAUCGGUUUUAAGUGAUGGAUAUCAUGGAAAUGGAAAAUGGAUAUGGAGGCUUUCCUAUGUGGACAAAGUUAUGUGUUUGUGCGCGAUUCGAUGCGAAAUUUUAACCCGUUAACGAAACGAAAAAUAUAUAGUGUGCGAAUCGAUAAAGCGGUUUGCCAAAAGGAAGGUGAUUGUUGAAUAAAUAACAAUAAAACAUAUUUCUUCAAUUUUUGUAACAAAUAUGUAUUUUAAAUUACAAAUAUAUGUGUUUCUAAAAUGGAAAUGCUGCUGCAUGAGGAAUAUAUGAAUACAUGUAAAAUUCUAUUUUCUAUUAUCGUUUUUCUGUGUCACGUUUCUUUCCAAUACUUAACCUGUCUGAAAAAAAAAUUUUUUAUGUAAUAAAUUUUUUACAAAUUAAAUUUACAAAUAUAAAAAAAA